UCUCUUCUCUCUCAGUUUUCUGCUGCACUUUCUGCAUCUCCAUCGCUAGCAUUGCACGCACAGUACUGGCGAGAGCAGACCCUCUAGAACCUCACCUGCUAUUGGAGAUCCUGCUCGGGAUAGGCAGGCGAUAAGGUUUUUAUGUCUAUGUCCAGGUUGCCGAGUUGUUCGUCUAUGUCGUCUACGUCCUGGUGGCAGUGCUGUUAAACUACUUCAUCUACUUCCCAAAGGCCGUUCGUGGGACUGCACUGCGUCGACUCCUCACGGCAUCGAAUUUGUACGACUACAUCGACUGAGGCCAUCCCAUGAUUAGUAUGACUAAUUCAGAUGGAUGGCAAAGAAUGACCUAAGAUGUCUGCGACAAUGGGCCAAGGAUAGCGAAGAUGGUAAAGGAUGACCUAAGAGGUCUGCGACAAUGGGCCAAGAAUAGCGAAAAGGGCCACCCCAGUUCGUCGGCAUUCUCUUAGCGGGUGGAAGUGUUGGCAGAGGCAGACCUAAAUCUAAGUUAGGGUAGUCCCAUCCCAUUUUAUCUAUGGCAGUUUCUAUAAUAUCAUAUCAGUAAAACACCAUAUAGGGAAACUAGACCCCCUCAGUUUCUUCAUGUGCUGUAAUUCCAUCCGUCCUCUCCUUUCUCUCUCCUUGUGCAACUGGCAACCGUAGAAGGGCAAGACCAAGCAAACAGGUAGGCCGCGGGGCCAUACAAAAUAGUGCUAAAGUAUCAAAGUGAUGACGACCAUGUCUUAAUCAACUCAAGCAAGUCUAUAUCAAGUGAGCUCCAAUUUCAACAUGACCCUACAGGCUUGCUCAAGUUUCAAAUCAUCAAAGUCCUCAUCUUUUAUGCUUUGUCAACUACUCAAGUAUAAUUGAGCAACAUCCCAAAUCUCGUGAGUGGUGGUGCCCUUGCCACCUCUCGACUUCUACCAGCAACUAAACAUGGCUAAGCAAUUAUAUAGAGAUUCUACCAUUCAUACUUUUACUAAGUAAGUUGGGCUAAGACCAAGAGUUGACAUGCCUAGUAGGUUCUAAUCAUUGCACAUGUCUAAAUAGACCAAAGGUCAUGCACAACCAUUAAUAGAUAAUAGCAAUUCACAUUCAAAAAAUAGAGUUGAGAUACAUAGGCGCCUGCCUGAGAUUUAGUGCUCCAAGAUGCAAUACUCUAGAACGUCAUCCUCUAAGAAAAAGAUGAGUGCAUGAAUUAGAAGUUAUGCUAUGAAUGCACAUGCAUAUGCAUAUGAGAUGCUAUGACUCCUGAGAAGUCAAGGUUAACAUGACACAAGGUCAUCAAACAAGCAAUCGAAGAUUAGAAUGAGAGCACACAAGCAUAACAUUGGGUGAAGGUGCCAAAAUGUGCACAUAGCUUUCCAAGACAAGUUGUAACAUAAGGAUGUCAUCAGAAUUAGUUCUCUACUUUUUGUUGUCAUAUAACUAAUAUUAACUGACAUGCCACAACAUACACAAAGCAUCAACUAUGGGAGUAUUUCAUGAUUGUUAUCAACAUUGAAAUUGAGCAAGAUUAUACAACCUAAUAGUAUAAUACAAGUAUGACCAACUUUAUAAAGUUUAAGAACUAAUGGGUAGCUAGGAACAUCACUUCUUAAUUAAGGGUAAUAGAAUCAUCCUGUAAGUUAGAAGGUAGCUGUUAUUGUUGUACUUAAUUAAGACAAGUAUCAUAAGAUUCUUGGAGGUUUCUAAUUACAAGCAACAUUGUGCAUUUGUUUAAUAGGUAAUUAAAAAGAUAAACACACAUCUAAUUAAACUAGACAAUUUGGUAAUUAGUUUAUUAGAAAAAAAAUAUUUUUAACAGGUACUAAACAUCAUGAUAAAACCAACAAAAUAUGUUUCACGUUAGUUCGAUCUAUAUUCAAUUUUAUAUGAAUUAUGUAAGAUGAUACAUGUUGAUGCACUUGAAACAAAAGGCUGACUGGACAGUAUACUGUGCAGUACCUGCAGACAAUGCGCCCUUAGGGCUUGGACUCCGCGGGUAAAGCGCCAACGUGCUCCAGAAAUACACCAGUUUGGUGUAAACUUUAGAACUCAAAUGUGGACUGUCCGGUGUCAAAUGACGGAUAUGUCGUCGUACAAAGACUUUUGGUAAAACGUUGUGAGCAAAAAUCAACAGUGACAAAUAUUUUAAUAUUGAGCAAUAAACUUUCAUCAAGGACAUUUCAUAUUA